UACGGAGGGGGCUAGCGUUGUUCGGAAUUACUGGGCGUAAAGCGCACGUAGGCGGCUUUGUAAGUUAGAGGUGAAAGCCCGGAGCUCAACUCCGGAAUUGCCUUUAAGACUGCAUCGCUUGAAUCAUGGAGAGGUGAGUGGAAUUCCGAGUGUAGAGGUGAAAUUCGUAGAUAUUCGGAGGAACACCAGUGGCGAAGGCGGCUCACUGGCUCGGUACUGACGCUGAGGUGCGAAAGCGUGGGGAGCAAACAGG
rnacentral:rRNA from 1 species